UGGGUUUGUGACUCUCAGGCCAAGAUUCAGCAAACCUGUGAGGCUGUGACUCUAUGAAGAAUAUACAGUGGACUUGAGGGACUGUGGCUCCCAAGCAUGGAUCCAGUCACCUGUUGAAAUUGUGACUCAUGUACUUGGACCUUACAUACAGGAGGUUCUACCAACAGGGAAGAUUGUGACAUAUCACUGGGCCUAACACCAAGGUGUAGUUACACUUUUGCCUUGGCCCAGAACUCUGAAGUUCACUGUGACGUACUGCUGGGCCCAGCACCAAGGUGAUGUGAGUCUCCUGCCUGGAGCCUGCACACAGGGGCUAUUGUGACA
rnacentral:lncRNA from 10 species